CCCCGUCCCGGGAAGGGGUGGCCCUCAGUACCCGCCUGGCUCGCCCUGCCGCCAAGCUCAAGUGUCCCUUCCCUUCCCCUCGGGGCCCCCGAGGCCGCUGCCAGCGCUGGCACGGCGGGGCCGGCUCACCAGUUGGUCAUGUCCAGGAAGAAGGCGCAACCGGCAGGAUUGAGCUGGAAGCCGAGCAGCCUCUGGAACUCGGAGAUGAGCACGUCCUUGUCGGUGGUGCCCAGGCAGCUGAACUUCUGCAUCAGCUCCGGGUCCAGGUCUACGUCCAUGCCCUCCAUGGCGGGGACCGGACACCCGCUUCCCCGCCUCCUCACAACCAAGCCGCCGCCGCGCCGCCGGGCCCGGGGACCUGGAGGGGGCCCGCUGCUAGCUAGCUUCGCGACCCCGCUCCUUUGAGGUGAGGAAACUGAAGUCCCGGGAGAGACAGUGGCAAGGUCAAGUAGCAAAGUGCACUCAGCCCUCCCAGCAGGGAGUCUGCCACUCGCGCUUGAAGGACGUGUUUGAAGAGCUGCUUUCCCAGUGGGAUGCUGCCUUAAAGUCUUGAUUCCCUGGCACUCUUUCCUAUUACUACAUUUUAUCGGUGCUGUUUGUGUUAUGCAACGGUAGCAUCGUGUCUCCGGAAGAUAAAAAAAGGUCUCAAUACAAACAUCCAUAACCUUCCACCCACUCCGUCAGGAACAACCCAAUCAAAAUAAAGUCAUGAGAAUUUA
rnacentral:antisense_RNA from 1 species